CCUACGGGCGGCAGCAGUGGGGAAUAUUGCACAAUGGGGGGAACCCUGAUGCAGCGACGCCGCGUGGGUGAAGGAGUAUUUCGGUAUGUAAAGCCCUAUCAGCAGGGAAGAACAAUGACGGUACCUGACUAAGAAGCACCGGCUAAAUACGUGCCAGCAGCCGCGGUAAUACGUAUGGUGCAAGCGUUAUCCGGAUUUACUGGGUGUAAAGGGAGCGCAGGCGGCGCGUUAAGCCUGGUGUGAAAGCCCGGGGCCCAACCUCGGGACUGUAGUGGGAACUGGCGGGCUGGAGUGCCGGAGGGGUAGGCGGAAUUCCUAGUGUAGCGGUGGAAUGCGUAGAUAUUAGGAGGAACACCAGUGGCGAAGGCGGCCUACUGGACGGUGACUGACGCUGAGGCUCGAAAGCGUGGGGAGCAAACAGGAUUAGAUACCCUUGUAGUC
rnacentral:rRNA from 1 species